GGUGCUCAGAUGUUUGCGUACCCUGUUUUGCAUUCUCUAUGGACAUACAGGCAUCCAACCACAAACCAAAUCAAAGCAUUAGUGUCACACGUUGUUAACAUGGUAGAAACGGCUUAAACUCAUCCAUUCAAUUAGUUGUGAUCAGGCCGUAGGUUUGCUUUCUGCUCCAACUGCACAAUAGGCAAAGCAUUUCAUCCAUGUUGCAACCUCC
rnacentral:lncRNA from 1 species